rnacentral:rRNA from 1 species
UACGGGGGGGGUAAGCGUUGUUCGGAAUUACUGGGCGUAAAGGGCUCGUAGGCGGCCAACUAAGUCAUACGUGAAAUCCCUCAGCUUAACUGGGGAACUGCGUGUGAUACUAGAUGGCUUGGAUUUGGGAGAGGGAUGCGGAAUUCCAGGUGUAGCGGUGAAAUGCGUAGAUAUCUGGAGGAAUACCGGUGGCGAAGGCGGCGUUCUGGACUGCAACUGACACUGAAAAACGAAAGCCAGGGGAGCAAACGGG